CAGUAGCCGCGGUAAUACGAAGGGGGCUAGCGUUGUUCGGAUUAACUGGGCGUAAAGGGCGCGUAGGCGGGUUUUUAAGUCAGAGGUGAAAUCCCAAGGCUCAACCUUGGAACUGCCUUUGAUACUGGAAGUCUUGAGUCCGGGAGAGGUGAGUGGAACUGCGAGUGUAGAGGUGAAAUUCGUAGAUAUUCGCAAGAACACCAGUGGCGAAGGCGGCUCACUGGCCCGGUACUGACGCUGAGGCGCGAAAGCGUGGGGAGCAAACAGGAUUAGAUACCCCCGUAGUCCCUGUCUCUUAUAU
rnacentral:rRNA from 1 species